rnacentral:rRNA from 1 species
UGGCAGGCUAGAGUCUUGUAGAGGGGGGUAGAAUUCCAGGUGUAGCGGUGAAAUGCGUAGAGAUCUGGAGGAAUACCGGUGGCGAAGGCGGCCCCCUGGACAAAGACUGACGCUCAGGUGCGAAAGCGUGGGGAGCAAACAGGAUUAGAUACCCUGGUAGUCCACGCCGUAAACGAUGUCGACUUGGAGGUUGUUCCCUUGAGGAGUGGCUUCCGGAGCUAACGCGUUAAGUCGACCGCCUGGGGAGUACGGCCGCAAGGUUAAAACUCAAAUGAAUUGACGGGGGCCCGCACAAGCGGUGGAGCAUGUGGUUUAAUUCGAUGCAACGCGAAGAACCUUACCUACUCUUGACAUCCAGRGAAUUCGSUAGAGAUASCUUAGUGCCUUCGGGAACUSUGAGACAGGUGCUGCAUGGCUGUCGUCAGC